UACGUAGGGGGCAAGCGUUGUCCGGAUUUAUUGGGCGUAAAGCGCUCGCAGGUGGUCCGAUGCGUCGUGCGUGAAAGACCCCGGCUCAACUGGGGUGUCGUGCGAUACGGUCGGACUGGAGGCCAGUAGGGGAUGCGGAAAUUUCCGGGUGUAGUGGUGGGAAAUGCGUAGAGAUCCGGAGGGAAACACCAGCGGCGAAGGGCGGCAUCCUGGGACUGGGUCCCUGACACUCAGGGAGCGAAAGCGUGGGAGCGAGUCCGGG
rnacentral:rRNA from 1 species